AGAGUGAACGCUGGCGGUAGGCCUAACACAUGCAAGUCGAACGGCAGCACGGUAAGAGCUUGCUCUUAUGGGUGGCGAGUGGCGGACGGGUGAGGAAUACAUCGGAAUCUACCUUUUGGGUGGGGGAUAACGUAGGGAAACUUACGCUAAUACCGCAUACGCCCGUUCGGGGGAAAGGCCGGGGACCGAGCAAGUGGCCAGGUGCUGAUAGAUGAGGCCGAGUGUCGGAUUAGCUAGUUGGUGAGGUAAUGGCUCACCAAGGCGACGACGUCCGUAGCUGGUCUGAG
rnacentral:rRNA from 1 species